GUGUCAGCAGCCGCGGUAAUACAGAGGGUGCGAGCGUUAAUCGGAAUUACUGGGCGUAAAGGGUGCGUAGGUGGUUAUUUAAGUCAGAUGUGAAAUCCCUAGGCUCAACCUAGGAAUUGCGUUUGAGACUGGAUAGCUAGAGUGUAGUAGAGGGAAGUGGAAUUUCCGGUGUAGCGGUGAAAUGCGUAGAUAUCGGAAGGAACAUCAGUGGCGAAGGCGACUUCCUGGACUGUUACUGACACUGAGGCACGAAAGCGUGGGGAGCGAACAGGAUUAGAAACCCUAGUAGUCC
rnacentral:rRNA from 1 species